rnacentral:rRNA from 1 species
CCACCUUUGACAUGUAUGGAAGUUUCCAGAGAUGGAUUCGUGCUCGAAAGAGAGCCAUAACACAGGUGCUGCAUGGCUGUCGUCAGCUCGUGUCGUGAGAUGUUGGGGUAAGUCCCGCAACGAGCGCAACCCUUGUCAUUAGUUGCUACAUUCAGUUGGGCACUCUAAUGAGACUGCCGGUGACAAACCGGAGGAAGGUGGGGAUGACGUCAAGUCCUCAUGGCCCUUAUAGGUGGGGCUACACACGUCAUACAAUGGCCGGUACAAAGGGUCGCAAACCCGCGAGGGGGAGCCAAUCCAUCAAAGCCGGUCGUAGUCCGGAUCGCAGUCUGCAACUCGACUGCGUGAAGUCGGAAUCGCUAGUAAUCGUGGAUCAGCAUGUCACGGUGAAUACGUUCCC